GACGAACGCUGGCGGCGUGCCUAAUACAUGCAAGUCGAACGCACAGUUUAUACCGUAGCUUGCUACACCAUAGACUGUGAGUUGCGAACGGGUGAGUAACGCGUAGGUAACCUGCCUGGUAGCGGGGGAUAACUAUUGGAAACGAUAGCUAAUACCGCAUAAUAUUAAUUAUUGCAUGAUAAUUAAUUGAAAGGUGCAAUUGCACCACUACCAGAUGGACCUGCGUUGUAUUAGCUAGUAGGUGAGGGAACGGCUCACCUAGGCGACGAUACAUAGCCGACCUGAGAGGGUGAUCGGCCACACUGGGACUGAGACACGGCCCAGACUCCUACGGGAGGCAGCAGUAGGGAAUCUUCGGCAAUGGACGAAAGUCUGACCGAGCAACGCCGCGUGAGUGAAGAAGGUUUUCGGAUCGUAAAGCUCUGUUGUAAGAGAAGAACGGGUGUGAGAGUGGAAAGUUCACACUGUGACGGUAUCUUACCAGAAAGGGACGGCUAACUACGUG
rnacentral:rRNA from 1 species